GCGGCCGUGGCUGGAGCCGGACACUUCAGCCGCAGUUUCGAGGAGGAGCUGGACACGGGCUGGGCGCUGUCCCCGCUCAGCGCUGCUGUCGAAGUACCCGCCUCAGCUCAGUUCAAUCUCUUCCCAUUGGUCGUCGGCGUCGUCGUGGGCGUGGCCUCGCUGCUCCUCGUGCUCCUAUUGGCUGCUUGGCUGUGCCGGAGGAGGAGGGGGGGUUCUCGCUGGCGGGGGCUGAGCCCUGGUGACGACACCAGGACUUUGCCCAUGGCGGACAUGGAGGUGGCCGCCUGAGCUGGG